GUGCUGCUUAUGGCAGCGCUGGAGAGGGGGCGCUGAGCUGUUGGGUAUGAAGUGUAACAGAACAGACUUUACCACCUGAAACUGCUGCUUCAAGUUCAGAUCAGGCAAGGAACAAACCUCAUAACCACCAACAAGACCAAAGAAGAGUACACCUAAGUUGAAGACACAACACUUGAUCUGAAACAAGAAGUUUGUGCCUACUCAACAGCUUUGAAAGAGCACUUCCCAACGCUGCUAGUAGUCUUUGUUUUUUUCAGUGUUGUGCUGUGAGAUUGCCCGGUGCAGCAGCAGUUGUAUUCGUUAUUAGCUUGGUAGAUCAUUUUCUCUCACUCUUUUUUAAUACUAGCAACUUUCAUCCUUUGAAACUUGUGCUGUAAAAGGAAGAGUCAGCAGAUACUGAAAGUGCAAUAUUUGAUUAUCACUGCGAGAUGAGCUUUGAUCCAAACCUUCUCCACAACAAUGGACACAAUGGGUACCCCAAUGGUACUUCAGCAGCACUGCGUGAAACUGGGGUUAUUGAAAAACUGUUAACUUCUUAUGGACUUAUUCAGUGUUCAGAAUGUCAAGCUAGACUUUUCUUCCACUGUUCACAAUAUAAUGGCAACCUGCAGGACCUAAAAGUAGGAGAUGAUGUUGAAUUUGAAGUAUCAUCUGACCAGGGGACUGGGAAACCCAUUGCCAUUAAACUGGUGAAGAUAAAACCAGAAAGCCACCCUGAAGAAUGAAUUAAUGGACAAGAGGUGUUCUACCUGACCUACACCCCUGAAGAUGUAGACGGGAAUGUUCAACUGGAGACAGGAGAUAAAAUAAACUUUGUAAUUGAUAACAAUAAACACACUGGUGCUGUAAGUGCUCAAAACAUUAUGCUAUUGAAAAAGAAGCAAGCCCGCUGUCAGGGAGUAGUUUGUGCCAUGAAGGAGGCGUUUGGCUUUAUUGAAAGAGGCAAUGUUGUAAAAGAGAUAUUCUUUCACUAUAGUGAAUUUAAAGGUGACCUAGAAGCCUUACAGCCUGGGGAUGAUGUGGAAUUCACAAUCAAGGACAGAAACGGUAAAGAAGUUGCUACAGAUGUCAGACAAUUGCCUCAAGGAACAGUCAUUUUUGAAGACAUCAGUAUUGAACAUUUUGAAGGAACUGUAACCAAAGUUAUCCCAAAAGAACCCAGUAAAAACCAGAAUGACCCAUUGCCAGGAUGAAUCAAAGUUGACUUUGUGAUUCCUAAAGAACUUCCUUUUGGAGACAAAGAUACAAAAUCCAAGGUGACUCUGCUGGAAGGUGACCAUGUCAGGUUUAAUAUUUCAACAGACCGCCGUGACAAAUUAGAAAGAGCAACCAACAUAGAAAUUCUUUCAAAUACAUUUCAAUUUACUAAUGAAGCCAGAGAAAUGGGUGUGAUUGCUGCCAUGCGAGAUGGUUUUGGCUUCAUCAAGUGUGUGGACCGCGAUGCUCGUAUGUUCUUCCACUUCAGUGAGAUUCUAGAUGGAAACCAGCUCCAUAUUGCAGAUGAAGUCGAAUUUACUGUGGUUCCUGAUAUGCUCUCUGCCCAAAGAAAUCAUGCUGUUAGGAUUAAGCUUCCCAAGGGCACUGUUUCAUUCCAUUCCCAUUCAGAUCAUCGAUGUCUGGGCACUGUAGAAAAAGAAGCCACUUUUUCCAAUCCAAAAACCACUAGCCCAAAUAAAGGCAAAGAGAAGGAGGCCGAGGAUGGCAUCAUUGCUUAUGAUGACUGUGGGGUGAGGCUGACCAUUGCUUUUCAAGCCAAGGAUGUGGAAGGAUCUAUCUCUCCUCAAGUAGGAGAUACGGUUGAAUUUAGUAUUAGUGACAAAGAGGCCUAGACAACAGAUUGCAACUUGUGUGCGACUUCUGGGUCGCAAUUCUAGCUCCAAAAGGCUCUUGGGUUAUGUGGCAACUCUGAAAGAUAAUUUUGGAUUCAUUGAAACAGCCAAUCAUGAUAAAGAGAUCUUUUUCCAUUACAGUCAAUUCUCUGGUGAUGUCGAUAGCCUGGAACUGCUUGUCCAAAGGCAAAGGCAACAAAGUCAGUGCUGAGAAAGUAAACAAAACUCACUCAGUGAAUGGCAUUACAGAGGAGGCUGACCCUAUCAUCUACUCUGGUAAAGUCAUCCACCCCCUGCGGGGCGUUGAUCCAACUCAGAUUGAGUACCAAGGAAUGAUUGAGAUUGUGGAGGAGGGGGACAUGAAAGGUGAGGUCUAUCCAUUUGGCAUAGUUGGGAUGGCCAACAAAGGGGACUGCCUGCAAAAAGGGGAGAGUGUCAAGUUCCAGUUGUGUGUUCUGGGUCAAAAUGCACAGACUAUGGCCUACAAUAUCACGCCCCUGCGUAGGGCCACCCUGGAGUGUGUGAAAGAUCAGUUUGGCUUCAUUAACUAUGAAGUAGGAGAGAACAAGAAGCUUUUUCCAUGUGAAAGAAGUUCAGGAUGGCAUUGAGCUACAGGCAGGAGACGAAGUGUAGUUCUCGGUGAUUCUGAAUCAGCGCACCGGCAAAUGCAGUGCCUGUAAUGUCUGGAGAGUCUGUGAGGGCCCCAAGGCAGUAGCAGCCCCUCGGCCUGAUAGAUUGGUCAAUCGUUUGAAGAACAUCACCCUGGAUGAUGCCACUGCUCCUCUCCUAAUGGUUCUUCGUCAGACCAGGGGACCAGAUAACUCAGUGGGAUUUGGUGCAGAAAGAAAGAUCCGUCAAGCUGGUGUCAUUGACUAACCACAUCCACAGAGCACAUCAUUAAUCCACUAUGAUCAAGUUGGGGGGAUUCUGGUGAAGGGUUCUUAAUAUCUCCCUCUUCAUCCCUCCCAAAAUCUGGAAUACUUAUUCUAUUGAGCCAUUACACCAGUUUUAACACCUUCCUCGUGUUAUGUUUAAAAAAAAUAAAUAAAUUUAAGAAACCAUUUAAAAAUUAUGCACAGUUGCAGCCUGGAAAAGUUAAGGUGGCGCCUUAUAGUAUCAAUUUUAGGAGCUUUAUUUGGUGCAUUUAACGCAACUGGUAAUUGCAAAAUUCACUUGGCCUGAGUAAGGGAAAAUAGACUUGUCUUGUUGGCCCUAUGAAAUUCUGCACUUGUAUUCUACUGUCAUGACCUCUGGCACGGUGUUGGCCUUGGCACUCAGUUGCAUUCUUUUCUUUCCUGUUCAUUAUGCUUUAA